rnacentral:tRNA from 1 species
UCCCUCAUGGUCUAGUGGCUAGGAUUCGGUGCUCUCACAGCCGCGACCGGGGUUGGAUUCCGGGUCAGGGAA